AUGGCAUCCCUACAAACGCUUUGUAAUGUUGAUUUAGAUAUGGAUGAAGCUGCAGAGGUAAUUAAAGAGUUCGGAAAGCUGAAACAGAUGAGGGAUUUGUGGUUGAUUAAUGUUCGCCCAGAAGACGGAAACAUUCUAUCUUCUUUGAUUGAUAAGAUGCAACACUCGGAGAAACUAUCUGUUCAAUUGUAUAAGAAUACUGAUGAACUCAAUGAUUUUGGAUACUAG